GAAGAUCCAGAUGAAGGCACAGGGUGGAUGCCUAGGCGCACCAGGCCGAUGAAGGACGCGGCCACGCGGCGAAAUGCCCCGGGGAGACGCUGGCAGUCAGUGAUCCGGGGAUGUCCGAAUGGGGCAACCCGCCCGUGGUCAUACCGGGCACCUGGCCCAUGGCCAGGAGGGAACCGGGGGAACUGAAACAUCUCAUGUACCCCGAGGAACAGACAGGAUUCCCGUAGUAGCGGCGAGCGAACCGGGAGGAGCCUAAACUCCGUAUGCGUCCGAGGCUGCCGCCGCUGCGUACGGAGGGUUGAACGAGACCCGAGGAGGGACCGGCAGGAACCUCGUGGGAAGCGGAUGCCGAGCCGAACGCCACUGGAAGGGGCGACCGGAGGGGGUGAGAGUCCCGUAGGCAAUGGCCAUCCGCGACCGAUGUUGGGUGAUCGUGAGUACCGCCGGACACGCGAAAUCCGGUGGGAAGCAGGGCCGCCCACGGCCCAAGGCUAAAUACCUGGUGCGACCGAUAGUGAACCAGUACCGUGAGGGAAAGGUGAAAAGCACCCCGUCGAGGGGAGUGAAAGAGAUCCUGAAACCCUGUGCUUCCGGCCGGUCGGAGCCUGCAGCAAUGCGGGUGACGGCGUGCCUUUUGUAGAAUGAGCCAACGAGUACUUCGGCGUAGCGAGGCUAAGGCGGCGUACAGCUGGAGCCGGAGCGAAAGCGAGUCCGAAAGGGCGUCGAGUUGCGUUGAGGUGACCCGAAACCGGGUGAUCUACCCUUGGGCAGGGUGAAGCGCGCGGAACACGCGCGUGGAGGCCCGAACCCGUGUCCGUUACAAAGGGCAGGGAUGACCUGAGGGUAGGGGUGAAAUGCCAAGCGAACCCGGAGAUAGCUGGUUCUCCCCGAAAUGCAUUUAGGUGCAGCCUUGGACGAGGCCACCAUGGAGGUAGCGCACUGAAUCGGCGAGGGGGCUUCCCGCUUACCGACCCGUCUCAAACGCCGAAUGCCGUGGUGGAGAAUCCAGGAGUGAGACUGUGGGAGCUAAGUUCCAUGGUCGAGAGGGAAACAGCCCAGACCGCCGGCUAAGGUCCCGAAGUCCCUGCUAAGUGGGCAAGGGAGUCGUGGCGCGCAGACAACCAGGAGGUUGGCUUAGAAGCAGCCAUGCCUUGAAAGAGUGCGUAAUAGCUCACUGGUCGAUGCGCCGCGGCGCCGACAAUCCACCGGGGCUCAAGCAGGGCACCGAAGCCGCGGAUGACGGCAACGUCAUGGUAGGGGAGCGUCGUGGUCAGCCGAGAAGGGGGCGCGUGAGCAAACCUGGAGCGGCCACGAGUGCGAAUGUUGGCAUGAGUAGCGCGAGGGGGGUGAGAAUCCUCCCCACCGAAUGCCCGAGGGUUCCGCAGCGAUGCUGAUCAACUGCGGGUGAGGCGGGCCUAAGCCGAGGCCGGAAGGCGUAGGCGAUGGACAACGGGUUCAGAUUCCCGUCCCGUUCGGCGCCGUUUGAGUGAGGGCGUGACGCAGGGAGCUAGGUCCGGGGGUGGCGACACCCUCCAAGGUGGUAGGGAGGCCCGAUAGGCAAAUCCGUUGGGCCGAUGACCGAGAGCUGAGUGGAAGGUGCGGGGGACAACCCCAAGCCGGACGGAUUGAUGCUGAACUGCCAAGAAAACCGUCUAGCGAGGCGUUUCGAGCGACCGUACCGCAAACCGACACAGGUGGGCUGGUAGAGUAUACCAAGGUGGACGGGAGAACCUUCGUCAAGGAACUCGGCAAAUUCGUGCCGUAACUUCGGGAGAAGGCACGCCCCGUGUAGGGUGAAGCACCAUGCGUGUGGAGCCUGAGGGGGCCGCAGUGACCAGGCCCAGGCGACUGUUUACCAAAAACACCGGUCCGUGCCAACGCGAAUGAGCGUGGACGUAUACGGGCUGAGACCUGCCCAGUGCUGGAAGGUUAAAGGGAGGCGUUCACGCGCUGAACCGAAGCCCCAGUAAACGGCGGCCGUAACUAUAACGGUCCUAAGGUAGCGAAAUUCCUUGUCGGGUAAGUUCCGACCCGCACGAAAGGUAGAACGAUCUGGGCGCUGUCUCGACGGAGGACCCGGCGAAAUUGCAAGACCGGUGAAGAUACCGGUGACCCGCAGCAGGACAAAAAGACCCCGUGCAGCUUUACUCCAACUUGUCGUUGGGCGCGGGUGCCGUCUGUGUAGGAUAGGUGGGAGUCGGGGAAGCCGGGGCGUCAGCUCGGGUGGAGACUUUGGUGAAAUACCACCCUGACGGCGCCUGUGUCCUCACCCGGGCCGCUGAAGCGCGGCAGGGGACCGCGGCUGGUGGGGAGUUUGACUGGGGCGGUCGCCUCCUAAAGCGUAACGGAGGCGCCCAAUGGUUCCCUCAGGCCGGAUGGCAAUCGGCCGGAGCGCGUAAGGGCACAAAGGGAGC
rnacentral:rRNA from 1 species